ensembl:miRNA
GCCCUUGGGUUUCCCCAAACAGUAAGAGUUUAUGUGCGGUGAGAGCUAGAAUCUGCAUGUGGACUCCUACUGCUCCGGGAGGCUGGAAGUACCA